rnacentral:rRNA from 1 species
CCAUCAUGCCGCGUGUGUGAAGAAGGCCUUCGGGUUGUAAAGCACUUUUGUCAGGAACGAAACGGUGGGGGCUAAUACCUCCUGCUAAUGACGGUACCUGAAGAAUAAGCACCGGCUAACUACGUGCCAGCAGCCGCGGUAAUACGUAGGGUGCGAGCGUUAAUCGGAAUUACUGAGCGUAAAGCGUGCGCAGGCGGUUGUGCAAGACAGAUGUGAAAUCCCCGGGCUUAACCUGGGAAUUGCAUUUGUGACUGCACGGCUAGAGUGUGUCAGAGGGGGGUAGAAUUCCACGUGUAGCAGUGAAAUGCGUAGAUAUGUGGAGGAAUACCGAUGGCGAAGGCAGCCCCCUGGGAUAACACUGACGCUCAUGCACGAAAGCGUGGGGAGCAAACAGGAUUAGAUACCCUGGUAGUCCACGCCCUAAACGAUGUCUACUAGUUGUCGGGUCUUAAUUGACUUGGUAACGCAGCUAACGCGUGAAGUAGACCGCCUGGGGAGUACGGUCGCAAGAUUAAAACUCAAAGGAAUUGACGGGGACCCGCACAAGCGGUGGAUGAUGUGGAUUAAUUCGAUGCAACGCGAAAAACCUUACCUACCCUUGACAUGUACGGAACCCUGCUGAGAGGUGGGGGUGCUCGAAAGAGAGCCGU